GGACUUCAUGAAAAGCUUCAGAAGAGCUGCUGGGGUGAGCCCCAGGGUUCUUUUAAAGGAAGACAGCAAGCCACCUCCUGUCACUAGCCAACAUCCACCGGGCUCAGAACUGCAGGACUGCUACGCUGUACUCUCUGGUGUUUUUCCACUUGCUUGUCGAAGUUCCUGGAAGAGAAGCCUGCUUGGAGGAAAUGCACUGGAGUGAGAAGGUAUUUUAGCGCCAGGCCCCUGGACUCAGGAGUUAGAGGAACAGCUCUGCUAAUGUGAGCCGGGGGAGAACCACAGCCUACGCAGUCACUUUGGUUCCCUCUCGCUGGUGAGCCACUGUCUCCCCUUGACAGCAAUGGGGACUCUAAGCCAAUUUUCUCCCUGGUUUCUGGAAAGAGAAACUCAUCUAUAGGUUGUAAUUGCACUGAGAAUUCCAGUGGGGCAGUCAACACAGUCGCCAUCUUGUUGGAGUCACAAAAGAGGACUGGCUCAUCACGUUCUUUCCUGCAGAAGUCUGGGAACAACUGCUUCCUGGCCUGCAGAGGAUGGGGGCAAAGCCUCUCAAGGUGCCCAGCCCAGGGAGAGAGGUUUUCCUUUUUGUGCUUCUUUGAGUCUCUGUCAACUUUAACCUGAUUAGCUUUCUCCUCAGGGGAUUCAAACACAACACCCUGAGUUCUUGGCCUCUUGAGCCUCCUUUCUAACUGCCAAAGCACAUUUGUUUUCCUAGAGGAGGAACUCAUGUACUGCUGCACAGAGUGUGGAAUCAGAGGCAUAGCGAGCCUAGGACUCAAGCUGUCCUGAAAGAACUCUCCACAAGGCUUUUGAUGGACGAUGGGCACCACCUGACAAGGCCUCAGCGCUGCCACAAAAGCACGGAGCUCGGAGUAAGAUGAAUGGUCAGAGUACGGGACGGUGUAGAUGCUGGGGUGAGGGCUGCGCACUUUCCGGCUUGUGGGGAAAAUAGCAAUGGUAGGGUGACUCUGGUUCCACUGAAGCAUGGCAGAGUGGCAGAUCUCCGUAUGGUCCACAGCAUGGAUGCGCCCGGCUUCUUCCUCAACUGUGAACACGUCUGCCAGGCCCAGCAACUGUACCAACUCCAGGCGUUGAGGACUUAAUACCACCCAGGUCCGAAACUCAAGGGCUAGUUGCUCCAGCAGUGAUUCUUUUCCUAGACUAUAGAGUCCUAAAUUAUGUCCAAGGGGUUGGAGGAAAUAAGAGAAAGAAGAGAAUGAAGCUAUUAAGACUCUUGAUCAACCAAUGUUUAGCAAAAAUACAUAAUAUCUAUGUAGCAAUCCAAGAAGUUUAUCAAGGUGCAUUUAAGAUAUACAGCAGAUGCCUGUAUGGUGCACACAAAAUCCUUUUUUUUUUUUUCUUUUCAGUUCAACAAGAGACGGCAUCUACCAAGCAUCAAGCGCUGUGGAAACAGAUGAAGAAGGUUUCAUCUCUCCAAGGUACCAUCCAACUGCAGACUCAGAAACAAUGUAGUGAAGGGUGGUUUUUCACACACAGGUACAAGUGUCAUAAAAGGCACAGAAGAGCAGCAGCUGCCAGGUGAUGAAAUUAGGAAAAGUUUCUGUAAAACGACAGGUGACAGCUGGGCCAGGUCCACUUUGGGGGAUGGGUGGGGAAAAGUUUAAGUAUUUCUUUGGGGAGAAAAGAACAACACACUUCCAUCUAAUUAAAGAAACUCACCAUAC
rnacentral:lncRNA from 1 species